CCUACGGGAGGCUGCAGUGAGGAAUAUUGGUCAAUGGGCGCGAGCCUGAACCAGCCAAGUAGCGUGAAGGAUGACUGCCCUACGGGUUGUAAACUUCUUUUAUCAAGGAAUAAAGUGAGGCACGUGUGCCUGUUUGAAUGUACUUUAUGAAUAAGCAUCGGCUAACUCCGUGCCAGCAGCCGCGGGAAUACGGAGGAUCCGAGCGUUAUCCGGAGUUAUUGGGUUUAAAGGGGGCGUAGAUGGGUUGUUAAGUCAGUUGUGAAAGUUUGCGGCUCAACCGUCAAAUUGCAAUUGAUACUGGCAGUCUUGAGUACGGUUGAGGUAGGCGGAAUUCGUGGUGUAGCGGUGAAAUGCUUAGAUAUCGCGAAGAACUCCGAUUGCGAAGGCAGCUUACUAAACUGCCACUGACAUUGAUGCUCGAAAGUGUGGGUAUCAAACAGGAUUAGAUACCCGAGUAGUC
rnacentral:rRNA from 1 species